rnacentral:rRNA from 1 species
GGUAACUUAGUCUUAUAAUCACAAUUAAUGGAUCAAUUAUUCACUCAUCCGUGUAUUUUAAAAAGAAAAGUUAAUUUUAUCCUCCUGUCACCCCAACAGAAUAGCUCUUGAAUUUAACUUAACUCCUCCCAACUUUGUUGUAUUCAUACGCUAUUAAGAUCUAUAGGGUCUUCUCGUCCUCCAAUUACAUUUCAGCCUUUUCACUGAAAAGUUAAAUUCAAUAAUGGUCCAAGUGAGACAGCUUGUACCUCGUCCAACCAUUCAUACCAGCCUUUAAUUAAAAGACUAAUGAUUAUGCUACCUUUGCACGGUCAAAAUACCGCGGCCCUUCAACCUUCAGUGGGCAGGUCAGACCUCCUAUGCAGCCAAGAGGCG